AGUUCAGCGCAGCGGCGAUAUCGUACCCAAUGAGGAACAUCCGAGGUGGGAUUAUUGCUAAUUGAAGAAAUUCAAUUGAUUAUUAAGCCAACGUCAACCUUGUGGUUAUAUCAAUUAUUAAAACUUGAAUGAAA